CCUGUUGCCACAAACCCGUAGAUCCGAACUUGUGGUGAUAGUCCACACAAGCUUGUGUCUAUAGGUAUGUGUCUGUUAGG
ensembl:miRNA MIR100 microRNA 100